GACGAACGCUGGCGGCGUGCCUAACACAUGCAAGUCGAACGGAAAGGCCCUGCUUUUGUGGGGUUCUCGAGUGGCGAACGGGUGAGUAACACGUGAGUAACCUGCCCUUGACUUUGGGAUAACUUCAGGAAACUGGGGUUAAUACCGGAUAGGAGCUCCUGCUGCAUGGUGGGGGUUGGAAAGUUUCGGCGGUUGGGGAUGGACUCGCGGCUUAUCAGCUUGUUGGUGGGGUAGUGGCUUACCAAGGCUUUGACGGGUAGCCGGCCUGAGAGGGUGAACGGCCACAUUGGGACUGAGAUACGGCCCAGAAUCGUACGGGAGGCAGAAGUGGGAAAUAUUACACAAUGGGCGGACGUCUGAUGCAGCAACGUCGGGUGCGGAAUGCCCGCUUUCGGGUUGUAAACCGCUUUCGCCUGUGACGAAGCGUGAGUGACGGUAAUGGGUAAAGAAGCACCGGCUAACUACGUG
rnacentral:rRNA from 1 species